GUCGUCCGCUCCAAGUUAGUCGGGAGCUAAGGUGAGGCCGAAAGGCGUAGCCGAUGCACAGACGGUAGAGAUUCCGUCACCACCAAAAGAGUUAAGCACAGGGACACAUUUGAAGUCUCAGAGCCGGGUGUUGGUUCCGGUAGAGAUCGAGGGAAAUUAGUACCGAAGUCUGAGAUGGAAGAUGGCGAGAAAAGCUGUGUGUAUUUCUGAGGUGCCCGUACCGCAAACCGACACAGGUAGGUAGGAAGAAGAUUCUAAGGCCAACGGGAGAAGGGUUGUUAAGGAACUCGGCAAAUUGACCCCGUAACUUCGGGAGAAGGGGUGCUCCAGAGAUGGAGCCGCAGAGAAUCGGCCCAAGCAACUGUUUACCAAAAACACAGGUUUGUGCUAAAUCGAAAGAUGACGUAUACGAGCUGACGCCUGCCCGGUGCUGGAAGGUUAAGAGGAGAUGUGCAAGCAUUGAAUCGAAGCCCCAGUGAACGGCGGCCGUAACAAUAACGGUCCUAAGGUAGCGAAAUUCCUUGUCAGGUAAGUUCUGACCCGCAUGAAAGGCGUAAUGAUUUGGGCACUGUCUCAACAGCCCGCCCGGCGAAAUUGUAGUACCGGUGAAGAUGCCGGUUACCCGCGACAAGACGGAAAGACCCCAUGGAGCUUUACUGUAGCCUAAUAUUGGGUUUCGAUGUUGCAUGCACAGGAUAGAUGGGACACAGGGAAACAAUCGCUUUGGCGGUUGCGGAGUGGCCGUUGGGAUACCAUCCUUGCGAUAUUGGAAUUCUAACCUGCGGCUCUGAAUCGAGUCGGGGGACAUUGUUAGGUGGGCAGUUUGACUGGGGCGGUCGCCUCCUAAAAAGUAACGGAGGCGUUCAAAGGUUCGCUCAGCUUGAACGGAAAUCAAGCAAAAGAGUGCAAACGCAGAAGCGAGCCUAACUGCGAGACUGACGGGUCGAGCAGUAACGAAAGUUGGAGUUAGUGAUCCGGUGGUAUGUGAGUGGAAAUGCCAUCGCUCAACGGAUAAAAGUUACCCUGGGGAUAACAGGCUGAUCUCCCCCAAGAGUCCACAUCGACGGGGAGGUUUGGCACCUCGAUGUCGGCUCAUCGCAUCCUGGGGCUGUAUUCGGUCCCAAGGGUUUGGCUGUUCGCCAAUUAAAGCGGUACGCGAGCUGGGUUCAGAACGUCGUGAGACAGUUCGGUCCCUAUCUGUCGUGGGCGCAGGAUAUUUGAUGGGAGCUGUCCCUAGUACGAGAGGACCGGGACGGACGUACCUCUGGCGCACCAGUUGUUCCGCCAGGAGCAUAGCUGGGCAACUACGUACGGAUCGGAUAAACGCUGAAAGCAUCUAAGCGUGAAGCCGACCCAAAGAUAAGAUAUCCCACUGAUUAGAUCAGGUAAGAUCCCUUGAAGACUACAAGGUUGAUAGGCACGAUGUGUAAGUGGAGUGAUCCAUUCAGCAAGAGUGUACUAAUAGAUCGAGGGCUUGACU
rnacentral:rRNA from 1 species